UACGGGGGGUGCGAGCGUUGUCCGGAAUCAUUGGGCGUAAAGGGUGCGUAGGUGGCGCUGUAAGUCAGGUGUGAAAUUUCGGAGCUUAACUCCGAAACUGCAUUUGAUACUGCGGUGCUCGAGGACUGGAGAGGAGACUGGAAUUUACGGUGUAGCAGUGAAAUGCGUAGAGAUCGUAAGGAAGACCAGUGGCGAAGGCGGGUCUCUGGACAGUUCCUGACACUGAGGCACGAAGGCCAGGGGAGCAAACGGG
rnacentral:rRNA from 1 species